rnacentral:rRNA from 11 species
AACUACAGCAUUUCACCAUGAAAGGGCCUAAAUAUCAUGAAGUAACCAGAUCCUAUAUUUUUGAAACCUAAGCCAGGUCAGGCUUGGUUAGCAUUUGUGGGGGACCACCAGAAAAUACCAGGUGCUGUAGGCU